AGGCACGUAGCUCAGGGGGAGAGCGCACCCUGACACGGUAGAGGUCAUGAGUUCAAAUCUCAUCGUGCCUACCA
rnacentral:tRNA from 1 species